UGGACUCAGAGCAAAUCCCAAAAAGACCGUCUCAGUUCAGAUUGCAGGCUGCAACUCGCCUGCAUGAAGACGGAAUUGCUAGUAAUCGCGAAUCAGCAUGUCGCGGUGAAUACGUUCCCGGGCCUUGUACACACCGCCCGUCAAACCAUGAGAGUUGGGAAUACCCGAAGUCUGUAAUCUAACCGCAAGGAGGAUGCAGCCGAAGGUAGGCUCAAUGAUUGGGGUUAAGUCGUAACAAGGUACC
rnacentral:rRNA from 1 species